UAGGGAAUCUUCGGCAAUGGACGAAAGUCUGACCGAGCAACGCCGCGUGAGUGAAGAAGGUUUUCGGAUCGUAAAACUCUGUUGUUAGAGAAGAACAAGGACGUUAGUAACUGAACGUCCCCUGACGGUAUCUAACCAGAAAGCCACGGCUAACUACGUGCCAGCAGCCGCGGUAAUACGUAGGUGGCAAGCGUUGUCCGGAUUUAUUGGGCGUAAAGCGAGCGCAGGCGGUUUCUUAAGUCUGAUGUGAAAGCCCCCGGCUCAACCGGGGAGGGUCAUUGGAAACUGGGAGACUUGAGUGCAGAAGAGGAGAGUGGAAUUCCAUGUGUAGCGGUGAAAUGCGUAGAUAUAUGGAGGAACACCAGUGGCGAAGGCGGCUCUGUGGUCUGUAACUGACGAUGAGGCUCGAAAGCGUGGGGAGCAAACAGG
rnacentral:rRNA from 1 species